UACGGGGGGGGUAAGCGUUGUUCGGAAUUACUGGGCGUAAAGGGCGCGUAGGCGGCUUGGCAAGUGGAUGGUGAAAUCCCUCGGCUUAACCGAGGAACUGCCGUCCAAACUGCUUUGCUUGAGGCCGGGAGAGGCGAGUGGAAUUCCCAGUGUAGCGGUGAAAUGCGUAGAUAUUGGGAGGAACACCAGUGGCGAAGGCGGCUCGCUGGACCGGUUCUGACGCUGAUGCGCGAAAGCGUGGGGAGCAAACGGG
rnacentral:rRNA from 1 species